rnacentral:misc_RNA from 1 species
GAAUGAACUAACUCAAAAGGGGAUAAAGCCCAUUUAUUGACUCUAGGUGUAGAAGCUAAACGAUGGUGCUUAGCAAAUUGACAUGACUCACACUCUAAGAAGGAUAAAAACUGAAAUCGAGGACAUAAUUUCUUCAAGAUAGCCAAGGAGGAAUGGCCCAAACGGUAAUGAAUUUCAAGCGGAGUUAAGGUGCUGGAGCAAGUAAGAGAUCGCGGUACAUAUUUAUUCAGAAUGCAGAGACCACCAGUACAUAGCCUGUUUUAGAAGUAAGAUCCUGAAACAAACAAUAA